rnacentral:rRNA from 1 species
UAAUACCUGAUAAGCCCACGGUGUCCUUGGACGCUGCGGGAAAAGGGGGGGACCUUCGGGCCUUCCGUCACCAGAUGAGUCUGCGUACCAUUAGCUAGUUGGUAGGGUAAAGGCCUACCAAGGCGACGAUGGUUAGCUGGUCUGAGAGGAUGAUCAGCCACACUGGAACUGAGACACGGUCCAGACUCCUACGGGAGGCAGCAGUGGGGAAUUUUGCGCAAUGGGGGAAACCCUGACGCAGCAACGCCGCGUGAGUGAUGAAGGCUCUUGGGUCGUAAAGCUCUGACAGAGGGAAAGAAGUGUAUUGUGGCUAAUAUCCACGAUACUUGACGGUACCCUCAAAGGAAGCACCGGCUAACUCCGUGCCAGCAGCCGCGGUAAUACGGGGGGUGCAAGCGUUGUUCGGAUUUAUUGGGCGUAAAGCGCGUGUAGGCGGUUUGUUAAGUCUGUUGUGAAAGCCCUGGGCUCAACCCGGGAAGUGCACUGGAUACUGGCAAACUUGAAUACGGGAGAGGAGAGUGGAAUUCCUGGUGUAGGAGUGAAAUCCGUAGAUAUCAGGAGGAACACCGGUGGCGAAGGCGGCUCUCUGGACCGAUAUUGACGCUGAGACGCGAAAGCGUGGGUAGCAAACAGGAUUAGAUACCCUGGUAGUCCACGCCGUAAACGAUGAGUACUAGGUGUCGCGGGUA